GACGUCGGAUGGUGUAAAAAUAGUAUACAGAGAGCAGCAUGCUGCAAAAGAAAUGUUUGUAGUCGAUGAGGUAAAUCUUAUAGCUUAAAUGGCUAUUGACAUUAGAUUUUCCAUAACCCAUUUAAUAUAUAAUUUUCUAAUUCACUGAUACUUUUAAAAGCUCAACAAAGGCAUAGUCUUAAAUCCAAACAACUAAACAUAAUUAUAAGACAAAUAGUAUCAUAAUUUUAAUAGAGAAAAAGUUCCAAACACAACUCAACAAUUGCACUUAAUUGUCUAUGCAAUUUUGAACAGAAUUAUGACAUAAAAGAGCAAACUUUCAUAUAGAACAAACUAGAGUAACAUGAAAGUCUAAAUUUACCUAGCUUGCAAGUAAACAACCAAAAUGACUAGAAGAUUGUAGAGGAUGAAGUUCAGCAAUAAUGGUGAACGAAACAGCAGCAGAAAAAGGGCAGUCUAAAACUCCCGUGGAUAGCAGUUCUACAGCUCAAAAAGCAGUCGGAUUCUCGGAAGUUAUGAACCAGCAAAGCAGAAUUAGAAAAUAGUGUUGAAAUCCCUCUUUUGUUUUUGUUUUUGUUUAGGUUUUUGGAACUCUUUUUGAGUUUUCUGAUUUUUAAUUCCAAACUUAUCUCUGCUGGCGUGUGAAUGUGCGCGUGUGAUGGUGAGAAGAAGAGUAGAGGAGGGUGAGACUACGGAGUUUUUGGGACGAUGAAGAAUGGUGAGGUAUGUUGUUUUCAGAGAAAUCCCCUGGGUGUGCGCCAUUUUUUGUUUUCAGAGAGGAGCCUUUUCUUCUCAUUUG
rnacentral:lncRNA from 1 species